rnacentral:tRNA from 1 species
GGCAGAGUGGCCGAGUGGUCUAAGGCGGCGGAUUCAAGGCAUGUGGUGCUCUUGGACAGCGUGAAGCAGUCUCCCGCUCACGAAAGUGGCAGGGGUUCGAAUCCCCUCUCUGUCA